AUAGACCUGAAAUCAGUCGAGGUUACCCGCUGAAUUUAAGCAUAUUAUUAAGCGGAGGAAAAGAAAAUAACAAUGAUUCCCCUAGUAACGGCGAGUGAAGCGGGAUUAGCUCAAAGUGAAAAUCGUUGGUCCAUUUUGGUCCCACGAGUUGUAGCCUCUAGAGGCGCUACCAGUGGAGGGGCAGGUCCAAGUUUCUUGGAACAGAACUUCAGAGAGGGUGACAGUCCCGUCCUUUGUCCUGCUCGGCUUCUUCCACGUACGGUGCGCUUUUAUUGAGUCGCGUUCAUUGGGAUUUGAGCGCAAAAUGUGUGAUAAGUUUCACAUAAAGCUAAAUAUUGGCGCGAGACCGAUAGCAAACAAGUACUGUGAAGGAAAGAUGAAAAGGACUUUGGAAAGAGAGUUAAAAGUGCCUGAAAUUGCUGGAAGGGAAGCGAUUGAAACCUUUGUUUCCUUUGGGUGCCACAGGAUGUUGCUGAUCAGUCUCUUUCCUUUUCCGUUAAAGGAUUGGAUUGGGAAUGUUUUUGCAUCUGUAUCAUCCUGUUAAUCCCUUAGGUUUUGGUCAGCAUCGGCGGUAUCAUUUGAGAUUAUACUACUCAAAGCAGGUAGACCUCCAGUGGGUCAUUAUAGAUUUGAGGUUUUAUGUAUUUCUCAUGGCUGCCGAGGUGUGUUCUCGCGCGUUCAAUGGCUCCACUUUCGAGUACCAUUGUUCUGUGAUGCUGUCUCUAACGGUUUCAACCGACCCGUCUUGAAACACGGACCAAGGAGUCUAACAUAUGUGCGAGUAUGCGGGUGGCUAAAACCUGUAUGCGUAAUGAAAGUAAGAGUAGGGAAGGGUUGUUUUUAUUAUUCAUCCUUGCACCUACGACCGACCACGAUCAUAGAGAGAGGUUUGAGUUGGAGCACAUCUGUUAGGACCCGAAAGAUGGUGAACUAUGCCUGAGUAGGGUGAAGUCAGGCGAAAGCCUGAUGGAAGCUCGUAGCGAUACUGACGUGCAAAUC
rnacentral:rRNA from 1 species